UCCCGUAAACGGCGUAAAGAGUGGUACCAUGUUAUCACAACAACUAAGACCAAAGCACAACUAAGCUGUCAUAAGCCCAAGAUGUGUCUAAGGCCUGCCUUAAAAUGAUCUUAGUACUUUUGACCAAUUUAACCCCACGAAAGCUAAGACACAAACUGGGAUUAGAUACCCCACUAUGCUUAGCCCUAAAUCUUGAUGUCCUCCUCAUACUAGAACGUCCGCCCGAGGACUACGAGCACAAACGCUUAAAACUCUAAGGACUUGGCGGUGCCCCAAACCCACCUAGAGGAGCCUGUUCUGUAAUCGAUAACCCACGUUACACCCAACCGCCUCUCGCCAAACACAGCCUAUAUACCGCCGUCGCCAGUUCACCUCUCCUGAGAGCCCAGCAGUGAACAUAAUAGCCCAAACCCGCUAAUAAGACAGGUCGAGGUAUAGCCUACGGGGUGGAAGAAAUGGGCU
rnacentral:rRNA from 1 species